GGAGUUAGCCGGUGCUUCUUCUGUGAGUGAUGUCCUUCCUGCCGGCUAUUAACCCGCAGGCCUUCUUCCUCACUGAAAGUGCUUUACAACCCGAAGGCCUUCUUCACACACGCGGCAUGGCUGGAUCAGGGUUGCCCCCAUUGUCCAAUAUUCCCCACUGCUGCCUCCCGUAGGAGUCUGGGCCGUGUCUCAGUCCCAGUGUGGCUGAUCAUCCUCUCAGACCAGCUACGGAUCGUCGCCUUGGUGAGCCGUUACCUCACCAACCAGCUAAUCCGACAUAGGCUCAUCCGAUAGCGCGAGGCCCGAAGGUCCCCCGCUUUCCCCCGUAGGGCGUAUGCGGUAUUAGCCUGGGUUUCCCCCAGGUUAUCCCCCACUACCGGGCAGAUUCCUAUGCAUUACUCACCCGUCCGCCGCUCGCCACCACGGAGCAGCUCCCGUCGCUGCCGCUCGACUGCAUGUGUUAGGUCGUCGCCGCCACGCGUUCUACUACUGAGCCACUAAUACAAACUACUGA
rnacentral:rRNA from 1 species